rnacentral:rRNA from 1 species
GACGAACGCUGGCGGCGUGCCUAAUACAUGCAAGUAGAACGCACAGUUUAUACCGUAGCUUGCUCCACCAUAAACUGUGAGUUGCGAACGGGUGAGUAACGCGUAGGUAACCUGCCUGGUAGCGGGGGAUAACUAUUGGAAACGAUAGCUAAUACCGCAUAAUAUUGAUUAUUGCAUGAUAAUUGAUUGAAAGAUGCUAUUGCAUCACUACCAGAUGGACCUGCGUUGUAUUAGCUAGUAGGGGAGGUGACGGCUCACCUAGGCGACGAUACAUAGCCGACCUGAGAGGGUGAUCGGCCACACUGGGACUGAGACACGGCCCAGACUCCUACGGGAGGCAGCAGUAGGGAAUCUUCGGCAAUGGACGAAAGUCUGACCGAGCAACGCCGCGUGAGUGAAGAAGGGUUUCGGAUCGUAAAGCUCUGUUGUAAGAGAAGAACGGGUGUGAGAGUGGAAAGUUCACACUGUGACGGUAUCUUACCAGAAAGGGACGGCUAACUACGUG